AGAGUCGUAACUGCAGCUUUCUCUUUCCAGGAGAAGUAGAAGACAGAGAUGUCACAGAAAGUGUGCUCCCCGUUGGAGAAGCUAUUGAGGAUGCUACCACAGGGUUGGACGAUGUCACGAUAGGGGAGAAUGAAUGGAACAACACAUCUAGCACAAUUACACUAUUUAAACAUAGAUACCACAAAGCGUUUGACGACGCAGGAAAACUAAUUCUACUUACCAAGCGAGUUCGUGAUAAUCUUCUAGCGACUUCUUGGGUUUCCGACAAUUUCCCCGAGUCUGAUUCGGUAUCUGUGACUGGUCAAAACAAUAAAAAAACAAAGUCAAAUCUAUGCAAAACAUUAAUAAAAAUCUAUAUCGAA